rnacentral:lncRNA from 1 species
CAACAGGCUGUUGAUCUGAGCGGCGGCAUGAGGGAGCUGGAGACCGGAUACCAUCAGGUCCAGCACGACAGGGAUUUCAUUUCCCAGAUGCCGUUCACCUUCCGGGUGCAGCCCAACCACCCCAACCUGCAGGAAGACGAGUAGCUACAGCCUGCUGGAUAGUGUUCUGCAUGCCGCUCUGAACUGAAGCUGCAGGAAGACGAGUAGCUACAGCCUGCUGGAUAGUGUUCUGCAUGCCGCUCUGAACUGGAGCUCCUCACCUGCAGCUUCUAUCUCGCGUUUCAUCAUUCAGCGUUAGCUGGGUAUCUUUCUUUUCAUGGCACCCUGGAUGAAGUCUGUCAGUUGUUACUACGAUGUGGUCUUGUCUUGUGCGUCUCUUUUGACUUUGCUGGGCUGAGGUCUUGUCUUGUGCGUCUCUUUUGACUUUGCUGGGCUGAUUUCCGUGCAUGUAGUGAUGAUGAUGUUGGGGCGAAGGCGGAGACGCUACCCUUGGCUCGAUGCCUUCGUCGCCUUCGUCGUCUCGCUUCACCAACGAUGCCAAAGACGUCGGUCCGAUGAGGACUUCGCGACUGGACUUCGCGGGCGUCCUUCGCCCUUCUCCAUUGCGAGACGAAGGCAAGACUCCGACGAUGUCUGCUAGCCUCACGUCCUCAUCGGGUCCGGAAGCCCAAGGGAGAUUCGGUCCACUGUAACGGGCCCCGCAAGGAUAAGCGUGUUACGGGCCUCAUCUGUAAUAGUCUUUUCUGUAAUGACGGUCUGUAACCUCCCCUGGGGAAUAUUCUAAGGAUACUUUGGGUUCCCGAGGGCAUAAACGUCAUUUUUUUAGCGCGGUAGGCACUCGGGCACCUAUAAAUACCCCCGUACAGUACCCUUGAGGGGACAGAUUAACAGAGCUAUUGUCGUUCCCCGUUGAACCUUGCGAACUAUUUCUUCACUCUCCUGUUGGAUCCACUUGUUCACCUGAACGAGUACCAACAUUUGGCGCCCACCGUUCGUGCUACGAACAAACCGCCCGCGAUGGCACCCAAGAGAGCUAGUUCGAAGGCAGCCCCAUCCGUCGACGAAGCAGCGAAGGCAGCGCUGCUAACCGAGAAAAAAGGCAAGGCCCUCGCAGACAACACCCUCCAAAAAGCCUACGAAGACGAAGCUCUCCGCAAGAGACAGCGCCACGAACACCCCACUCCCGAAGGUACCCUACGCACCUGCAGCUCCAGAGGACUGCCACAAGCACCACCCCCAGGCUUCGCUCCACCAGAGGGCGAAGACGCAACAGAGGACGGCGAAGUCAUCGGCAUCUCAGCCGAAGAACAGCUACAGCUACGGGCCCUGUGCAUCAAGAACCGCAACCUCCAAAAACAGAAAGACAUCCUCGAGACCAAGCGCCAACGUGUCACCGCGCAAGCCAAGGUGCGCCAGAUGAUACGAGACGAGGAGCAGAGAGCCUGGGAGCUCGAGCAAGAGAUCGCGCUCAUACAGAGCAAAGGCCAGCAUGAUGUGCAGCAUGGCCCGCCCCUCCAACAGCGCGCCCCAGCCGGAGACUUAUUCAUACCCUAGCGUGGGCCCUUCAUCCCGCAUGCCGCAGCUUUCCAAGGCAUCAACUACCUUGAUGAGCGAAGCCCCUGGCUCCGCAACUCCAAGCGUUGUCGUGGCCCGAAACUUCAGGGCAGGGACCUACCCAAAGUACAACGGCAGCACCGACCCAGCACAAUACUGUAACGCCCCGAAUUUUGCAGUUGAAUUUUUUUCUUUUCUUUACUCGCCAAAAUUCGGGCGUUACCUUUUCUUUUUCUUUUUCCCCUCGCUAAACCUUGACCUUUUCCAAAGUUUUAGCGGGAUUCGGUUUGGAAUUCCCGUGUAAUGAAAAACCCUAAAUACUUUAUGUUGUUUGAUGCACCAUGCCGAACCUUGCAUUUCUUUUGAUUGCUUUGAAAGUGCAAAUGCAUUCAUGUAGAAAGAUCGGAUUUCGAAAAUGAGGAGAAGAUCUUUUCUUUCUUUUUCUCUCUCUUUCUCUCCUCUUUUUCUCUCUCUCUCGCGCCGUGGGCCGACCCCGGCCGGCCCAGCCGCCCCUGGCGCCCCCUCUUGGGCCUUGGCAGGCCCAGCCGCCCCCCCCAUCCCCCCUUUUUUUCCCCAAACCCUCUCCCUCUCCCUCUCAUUUUCCCUCUCUCUCUCCCUAGCGCCGCCCCUACCCCCUGCCCAACCGCCGCCCUGCCCUAGCGCUCGGCCGCCGCUCCCCGCCGUCGGCCGCCCCUGCCGGUGAGCCCCAACUCCUCCCUCUCUCCCUCCUCCCUCCCUCUCCCCUCUCCCCUCCUCUCUCCUCGGCAGCCCGCGCCCGGUCGCGCCGUGGCCGCUGGCCGCCCUGGCCGCGCCCCCAGCCGGCCGCGCCGCCCUGGCCCCGGCAGCCCCAGCCGGCCCCGGCCCGCCCCUUGACCAACCCCGGCCGCCCCCCGGCCCGCGCCCCGGCCGUGCGCCUGGCCGCGCGCCUGGCCGACUCGGCCGCCUGCCAGCCCGACCCCCCCCCCCGCGCGCGCCCGCCUGGCCGGCCGGUUCAACCGGGCCAGCUCGGCCGCCCCGGCCCCCAGCUCGGCCGCCCAGCCUAGGGCCGGUUCAACCGCCCUAGGGCCGGUUCAACCGCCCCCCUCUGUUUUUUUUAUUUUUUUAUUUUUAUUUUUAUUUUAUUUUAUUUACUUUCUGUGAUCCUAGUUACUUUAUUUUAGGUAGGUUAAUCAUUGUUCAUGUUAUUGAAAUAGGAAGUUUAAUUUAAAAUUCCGUUAUGCUAGUUGAUUCAUGUAGUUAAUUGUUUAUCUCGUGCAAUGUUGAUCAACUUAAAAUGAUUAGGUUUCCAUUAGUGUAUAUGUAACAGAAUUCUUUUGUUAAGAACCAAUUGUAAUUGAUCGUUAGUGCAUAAGAUUUAACCCCCUGCGAGACCCUUUCCCGUUUCUUUCUAACCAUAACAAAUGCGAUAUCGAAUGUCAUACUUGAUGCAUACUCACUUUAUUUGUUCCCUUGUAUGGUGUACUGUUCUUUUGUAUUAAAUAUGUGGAUGGAUGUAUGUAUGUUUGCAAUCGCAUAGAGAACGAUCCGGUCGAAGAGCCCGAGGAAUUCGCAGGAGAAGCCCCUGAGCAGCAGUCGGUUGGUGGAGGCAAGUGUCCUUUGACCUAUCUCUGUCCUAAUCAUUCUUUAAUUCACCUCCCGCAUCACACAUUUAUACCUAAGGAUUGACUAGCUUUUUGUUAUCCAUGUCCUUGUUUACCUAUUUGGGUCGGAUUAUUACUGCUUAGUUUGAUGCUAUUGCUCAACUUUAAUCAAUGAACAUGAUGUGGUUAUCUAUGAUACGCUGUUUUCCCGUUCUUAUUUAUGAUUAUACUUGUGGCAUUUAAGGGGACUCGAGCGGUUUCUCGAGUGCCUCUCCGUAAGGACCUGUUCAAUGGAUGACCGCCCGGGAAAACAGUGCAACCAUGAGGGUGGAAUGGGGUGCCCUUAGCUGAAUAAUUAGAGGAUCCGGGGUGUAGUUCGCUUCGCCGUCGUGCCGUCAAUGGGGCUCGGUGUAUGCGGCUCGCUCUGCCAAGGUUGAUUUGUCCCUUGGGGAGGAGUGCGGUACAUUUAGGAAACCUAACGGGUGGCUACAGCCCCGGGGAAUCUUUGUAAAGGCUUCGUAGUGAAUCCUUGGCCAUUCACCUCGGGAGUGAAUAAGGGUCUUGCAAGCCCGGGCCAGAGAGGGAAUCACGGCUUGUGGGUAAAGUGCACAACCUCUGCAGAGUGUUAUGAAACUGAUAUAUCAGCCGUGCUCGCGGUUAUGAGCGGCCAAGGGAGCUCCAGAGAUUAGUGAUACUUGAUCAGAGAUACUUUGGUACAGGUGACAAUGAGAUUGAUGGUUCUGAUUACGGUUAUGGUAUUGGUAAGUGGUAUUCUUUCCAUUUGGAAAGGAUACAUUGGGCUAAUAACUUGGGUUAAUGUUAAAACCUGGCUUUCUACUAGUAAGUAAUAACCUGACCAACUAAAAGCAACUGCUUGACUUAUCCCCACAUAAAGCUAGUCCACUACAGCCAAACAGGAUACUUGCUGAGUAUGUUGAUGUGUACUCACCCUUGCUCUACACACCAAACCCCCCCCAGGUUGUUAGCAUUGCAACCACUGCUCAGGCGAAGAUGAAGCUGUGGAAGGAGACUUCCAGGAGUUCCAAGACUACGACGAGUUCUAGGUGUGGGUUAGCGGCAACCCCCCAGUCGGCUGCCUGUGAAGGCCGCGUUAUCUACGUUUCUUUUCCGCACUUUGAUUUAUUGUAAGAACUAUAUGGACGUCUCAGACGUAUGAUGUAAUCGACUAUUUCCCUUAUUAAUACUAUUUUGAGCACUGUGUGAUGAUGUCCAUAUUAUGUAACUGCUGUGUACGUGAAUAACUGAUCCUGGCACGUACAUGGUUCGCAUUCGGUUUGCCUUCUAAAACCGGGUGUGACAUAAGUGGUAUCAAAGCCGUGCUGACUGUAGGACCGCUAACCUAGAAUAGAAUGGUCGUUCUAAGGACUAUAGACCUCUGUCUCUGCCUUGACUUUGAUAUCCCUUCAAAAGUUGGUCAUACCGACCAAACCUAUGUUCUACUAUAUAUUAUACCUUGCUGAAAAUCAUGUUUUAUUCUAAUCAUUCAUUUACUUAUGAUUCGUUAUUUGCUGGUCAUAUUAAUUCUGUUCUCACCCUUUUGCUUGCGAUGUCUUUUGUAGAUGGCUCGACUUAGACACACUGCACGAAAGUCAGUCAUCCCCUUCUUACCCUCCCGCCUUGCUGAGCGUCCGCUUCGCCGUCCCGUGGCCGGACAGUCCAGCCACUUGGAGAGACUACACCACCGCCUGCGUGAGGAGCAGGAACGUCGACGACAGGAGCAGCAGGGCUCUUCUUUCUCGCUCCACCAGGAGAUAGAGUCUGUGAGGAGCUGCUCCCCUGUGCUUCCUCUGGAGGCGCCCCCUGCCCCACCACUGGGCGCCCCAGCUUCUGGAGUAGCUGCUGGAGGAGACCCAGGCGACGGAGAUGGCGACGACAGCUCGAGCCACGACACCGACUUCUCUGCUAACCCUGAGCCGGAAGGAUGGGUUGCUCGACCCAUCACUCGCGACGCUGCUCGCGGGUGUCACUUCCACGAUGCGCUCGACACCCUGCUACGUCGGGCAUUUGACCGACAUACUUGGUCUGUCGAGUAUCGCUGUGUGGUCUACCAGCAUAGUCGCGGGGUCUACCUGGACCGCUGGGAGGCGACUUGCUUGGUGCGCUGCCCGGAGGACAGUCUCCAGGGUGCAGAGGCCUGCUCAGAGCACUAUUCUAUUUCUGAGCGGGACUCAGCUGAGGCAGCCAUGCAAGAUGCUGCACGGCGUGCGCUUUCGCACUACUGCUCGGUUUUCGGUGGGGCAGCUGAUGGUCUUGACCUGAAGUAUAACCCCCGCCGUCCAUCCGGCAGCACAAGAGGCGUGAUUGUCUCACCUGUCGGUGAGGGCAAUCCUAGGUUGAGCAGCACAGUCAACCUAUCCGCCGUGCUAAACACGGAGCUGGACCAUGCAUUAGACGAGCUGAGUAGGGCUCGUGCUGAGAUCGCCCUGCUGCGGGCUGAGCGCGCGGAACGUCGUCACCUGGAUGGUGGUUCCCCCGCUCCCGUCGGGACUCAGCACCCGUACCGCUCACCUCAGCGUGGACACCAGUCUUAUGGCAAUCCCGACUGCAAGACCAAGAUAAAUCUAGAACCAUAGAUCGCUAGAGUUGGAUCUUGUAAUUAAUACGAAAUAUAUGCAUAGAAGCUUCAGUCUUAGCGUUAAUCUCGGUCUUAGUUAGUCUUAGUUAGACAGGGUAGUUUGCUAUAUCCUGUGCAUUUAUGUUUGUCAUGAUGAACUAUGUUUGGUUUGGAUCUUUGAAAUGAUUGUCACCAGAGUGUGGGUACCCCCUGCAUUUUGGUUUACCUAUUAUGUUAAUGGAGUUAGUUAUAUAGUUGGGAAACCCCUUUUAUUCCACUUUCCUUUCUAUCUGAGAAGCUGUGUGGUCUGUGUUGGAGAUCAGUGAAGAUGCUCAUCUGUUCAGUGCUGUUGAAGAAUUCUAUUCUCUUUUCUUAUGCUGCAAGAUCUGCCAGAUCAGUUCUGAUGUGUGGUUGCAUUCUGCAGAUGUCAGAGAACAGACGUAGAGGAGGAAGGCGUGCUCAGCAGGAGCGAGCCGCUCAACAGGAGGAGGUGCCCCAGCAGCAGCUGCCACCCUCGCCCCCGAUGUCGAUCGAGCAGAUGUUUCUGAUGCAGACUCAGGCAGUUCAGGCCAUCGGUCAGACUCUGGCCGCCAUUCAGCAGCAGCAGCAGCAGCAACAGCAGCAAGCACCACCCCAGCCUCAGAUGCCUCAGAUGCCCAGAGACAAGCGUGCUGAAUUCAUGAGAGGUCAUCCCCCAACGUUUGCUCACUCUUCUGACCCCAUGGAUGCUGAAGAUUGGCUGCGCACUGUGGAGCGGGAGUUGCAUACCGCUCAGUGUGAUGACAGGGAGAAAGUCUUGUAUGGUCCCCGUCUGUUGAGAGGAGCAGCCCAGUCAUGGUGGGAGUCUUACCUCGCCACCCAUGCCAACCCCGACACCAUCACCUGGGAAGAAUUCAGAGGUAGCUUUCGUCAGUACCAUGUUCCUGCAGGUCUGAUGACAGUGAAGAAAGAGGAGUUCCUGGCUCUCAAGCAAGGGUCAUCAUCUGUCAAGUGAGUAUCGAGACAGGUUUCUGCAAUUGUCUCGCUAUGCUCCUGAGGAUGUCAACACUGACGCCAAGCGACAAUACCGUUUUCUGAGAGGCUUGGUCGACCCCCUGCAGUAUCAACUGAUGAAUCACACCUUCCCAACAUUCCAGCACCUGAUUGAUAGAGCGAUCAUGACAGAAAGGAAGCGUAAGGAGAUGGAAGAUCGUAAGCGCAAGAUCAGUGGACCCCAGCCUGGAAGCAGCAGUCGUCCUCGUUUCUCAGGCAAUCAACCUAAUCAGUUCAGGCAGAACCAGCGUCCACCUCAGCAUCAGCAGUUUCAAAGGCAGUAUCCUCAGCAUCAGUACCAGAACCGUCAGAGCAAUCAGUCAGGAGGUCAGUUUCAAAGGCAGAAUCAGCAAGCACCCCGUCUUCCUGCCCCAGCAAACCAGCAGAACAGUCAGGCAGCACCAGCUCAGGUUGGAAACAGAGCAUGUUUCCACUGUGGAGAGCAGGGCCAUUGGGUGAUGCAAUGUCCGAAGAAGGCAGCCCAGCAGCAGUCAGGCCCCAAUGCCCCAGCAAAGCAGAAUGUGUCUCAGCCUGGAGCAGGCAACCGCCCUCAACAGCGCUAUAAUCAUGGAAGAUUGAAUCACUUGGAGGCUGAAGCAGUUCAGGAGACCCCCGGCAUGAUAGUAGGUAUGUUCCCAGUCGACUCCCAUAUUGCAGAAGUGUUAUUUGAUACUGGAGCAACGCAUUCUUUCAUUACUGCAUCUUGGGUAGAAGCACAUAAUCUUCCAACUACUACCAUGUCAACCCCCAUUCAAAUUGACUCAGCUGGUGGUAGAAUUCGAGCCGAUAGCAUUUGUUUGAAUAUAAGUGUGGAAAUAAGGGGGAUAGCGUUUCCCGCCAACCUUAUAGUAAUGGGUACUCAGGGAAUAGAUGUCAUCCUAGGGAUGAAUUGGUUAGAUAAGUAUCAGGCAGUUAUCAGUUGUGAUAAAAGGACAAUCAAGUUGGUGUCCCCACUAGGAGAGGAAGUGGUGACCGAGUUAGUCCCGCCUGAGCCAAAGAAAGGAAGUUGUUAUCAGAUGGCUGUUGAUAGCAGUGAAGCAGAUCCAAUUGAGAGUAUCAAGGUUGUGUCUGAAUUCCCAGAUGUGUUUCCAAAGGAUUUACCGGGUAUGCCACCAGAGCGGAAAGUUGAGUUUGCCAUAGAGCUUCUUCCUGGAACCGCCCCCAUCUUUAAGAGAGCUUACUGAAUAUCCGGACCAGAGUUGGUUGAGCUUAAGAAGCAGAUUGAUGAGCUGUCAGAGAAAGGUUACAUUUGGCCAAGCACCUCGCCUUGGGCCGCCCCUGUCCUGUUUGUGGAAAAGAAAGAUGGCACCAAGAGGAUGUGCAUCGAUUAUCGAGCUUUGAAUGAGGUCACGAUAAAGAACAAGUAUCCUUUGCCCAGAAUAGAAGAUCUGUUCGACCAGUUGAGAGGAGCCAGUGUGUUCUCCAAGAUAGAUCUGAGGUCAGGUUAUCAUCAGCUCAGGAUCCGACCUUCGGACAUUCCGAAGACGGCAUUCAUUUCUAAGUAUGGGUUGUAUGAGUUCACAGUGAUGUCUUUUGGUUUGACCAAUGCGCCAGCGUUCUUCAUGAACUUGAUGAACAGUGUAUUCAUGGAUUAUCUUGAUAAGUUUGUGGUGGUAUUCAUUGAUGACAUUCUGAUUUAUUCUCAAAGCGAAGAAGAGCAUGCAGAUCAUUUGAGGAUGGUGUUGCAGAGAUUGCGAGAGCACCAGUUGUAUGCAAAGUUGAGCAAGUGUGAGUUCUGGAUCAGUGAAGUCCUGUUCUUGGGUCACAUAAUCAACAAAGAAGGAUUGGUUGUGGAUCCGAAGAAAGUGGCAGACAUUCUGAACUGGAAAGCGCCAACAGAUGCUAGAGGAAUCAAGAGUUUCAUUGGAAUGGCCGGAUAUUAUCGGCGAUUCAUUGAAGGGUUUUCAAAGAUUGCGAAACCAAUGACAGCGUUGCUAGGCAACAAAGUUGAGUUCAAAUGGACCCAGAAAUGUCAAGAGGCCUUUGAAGCGCUGAAAGAGAAGUUGACUACAUCGCCUGUCCUAAUCUUGCCUGAUGUGCACAAGCCCUUCUCGGUGUAUUGUGAUGCUUGUUACACAGGUUUGGGAUGUGUGUUGAUGCAAGAGGGAAGAGUUGUGGCUUACUCGUCCCGACAGUUGAAGGUUCAUGAGAAGAAUUACCCAAUCCAUGAUCUAGAGUUGGCAGCAGUGGUUCACGCACUGAAGACAUGGAGGCACUAUCUGUAUGGACAGAAAUGUGAUGUUUACACAGACCACAAGAGUCUGAAGUACAUAUUCACUCAGUCAGAGUUGAACAUGAGGCAACGAAGAUGGUUAGAGCUGAUCAAAGACUAUGAGUUGGAGAUUCAUUACCAUCCAGGCAAAGCAAACGUAGUGGCAGAUGCUUUGAGCAGAAAGAGUCAAGUCAAUCUGAUGGUUGCUCGUCCGAUGCCUUAUGAGUUGGCCAAAGAGUUUGACAGGUUGAGUCUCGGAUUUUUGAACAAUUCGCGAGGAGUCAUAGUUGAAUUGGAACCUACCUUGGAGCGCGAAAUCAAAGAAGCGCAGAAGAAUGAUGAAAAGAUCAGUGAGAUUCGGCGAUUGAUUCUAGAUGGCAGAGGCAAAGAUUUUCGAGAAGAUGCUGAAGGCGUGAUAUGGUUCAAAGACCGCUUGUGUGUUCCCAAUGUCCAGUCUAUUCGAGAGUUGAUCCUCAAGGAAGCUCAUGAGACAGCCUAUUCGAUUCACCCUGGUAGUGAGAAGAUGUAUCAGGAUCUGAAGAAGAAAUUCUGGUGGUACGGAAUGAAGAGGGAAAUCGCAGAGCAUGUGGCUAAGUGCGAUAGUUGUCGAAGAAUUAAGGCAGAGCACCAGAGACCAGCUGGAUUGUUGCAACCGUUGCAGAUCCCUCAGUGGAAAUGGGAUGAAAUUGGUAUGGAUUUCAUAGUCGGAUUGCCUCGCACUCGAGCCGGCUACGAUUCUAUUUGGGUAGUGGUGGACCGUUUGACCAAGUCAGCCCACUUCAUACCUGUCAAGACCAGCUACAACAGUGCAGUAUUGGUAGAGUUGUAUAUGUCUCGGAUCGUUUGUCUUCAUGGUGUGCCAAAGAAGAUAGUGUCAGACAGAGGAACGCAGUUCACCUCUCAUUUCUGGCAGCAGUUGCAUGAAGCCUUGGGCACACAUCUGAAUUUCAGUUCAGCUUAUCACCCGCAGACAGAUGGCCAGACCGAAAGGACCAACCAAAUUCUUGAAGACAUGUUGAGAGCCUGUGCGUUGCAAGAUCAGUCCGGAUGGGACAAGAGAUUGCCUUAUGCAGAGUUUUCCUAUAACAACAGUUACCAGGCCAGUUUGAAGAUGUCACCGUUUCAGGCACUUUAUGGAAGGAGUUGUAGAACUCCGUUGCAAUGGGAUCAGCCUGGAGAAAAGCAAGUGUUUGGGCCAGACAUUCUGCUUGAAGCCGAAGAGAACAUCAAGAUGGUCCGAGAGAAUCUGAAGAUAGCGCAAUCGAGGCAGCGAAGCUAUGCAGACACAAGAAGAAGAGAGCUGAGUUUCGAGGUCGGAGACUUUGUCUAUCUGAAAGUGUCACUGAUCAGAGGAGUCAGAAGAUUCGGAGUGAAAGGCAAGCUAGCACCCCGCUACAUUGGUCCGUAUCAGAUUCUUGCCAGACGUGGAGAAGUGGCUUAUCAGCUCAGCCUGCCAGAGAAUUUGUCUGCUGUGCAUGAUGUCUUUCAUGUGUCUCAGUUGAAGAAGUGCUUGCGUGUGCCAGAAGAGCAGUUGCCAGUGGAAGGUCUUGAGGUCCAGGAGGACUUGACCUAUGUUGAGAAGCCAGCUCAGAUCCUUGAGAUUGCAGACAGAGUCACCCGAAGGAAGACCAUCAGAAUGUGCAAAGUCAGAUGGAAUCACCACUCUGAGGAAGAAGCAACCUGGGAGCGUGAAGAUGAUUUGAUGGCCAAGUACCCAGAGCUCUUUGCUAGCCAGCCCUGAAUCUCGAGGGCGAGAUUCUUUUAAGGGGGAUAGGUUUGUAACGCCCCGAAUUUUGCAGUUGAAUUUUUUUCUUUUCUUUACUCGCCAAAAUUCGGGCGUUACCUUUUCUUUUUCUUUUUCCCCUCGCUAAACCUUGACCUUUUCCAAAGUUUUAGCGGGAUUCGGUUUGGAAUUCCCGUGUAAUGAAAAACCCUAAAUACUUUAUGUUGUUUGAUGCACCAUGCCGAACCUUGCAUUUCUUUUGAUUGCUUUGAAAGUGCAAAUGCAUUCAUGUAGAAAGAUCGGAUUUCGAAAAUGAGGAGAAGAUCUUUUCUUUCUUUUUCUCUCUCUUUCUCUCUCCUCUUUUUCUCUCUCUCCCGCGCCGUGGGCCGGCCUUGGCAGGCCCAGCCGCCCCCCCCAUCCCCCCUUUUUUCCCCAAACCCUCUCCCUCUCCCUCUCAUUUUCCCUCUCUCUCUCCCUAGCGCCGCCCCUACCCCCUGCCCAACCGCCGCCCUGCCCUAGCGCUCGGCCGCCGCUCCCCGCCGUCGGCCGCCCCCGCCGGUGAGCCCCCCCUCCUCCCUCUCUCCCUCCUCCCUCCCUCUCCCCUCUCCCCUCCUCUCUCCUCGGCAGCCCGCGCCCGGUCGCGCCGUGGCCGCUGGCCGCCCUGGCCGCGCCCCCAGCCGGCCGCUGCCGCACCGCCCUGGCCCCCGGCCAGCCCCAGCCGGCCCCGGCCCGCCCCUUGGCCAACCCCGGCCGCACCCCGGCCCGCGCCCCAGCCGCGCGCCUGGCCGCGCGCCUGGCCGACUCGGCCGCCUGCCAGCCCGACCCCCCCCCCGCGCGCCCGCCUGGCCGGCCGGUUCAACCGGGCCAGCUCGGCCGCCCCGGCCCCCAGCUCGGCCGCCCAGCCUAGGGCCGGUUCAACCGCCCUAGGGCCGGUUCAACCGCCCCCCCCUCUGUUUUUUUUAUUUUUUUUAUUUUUAUUUUUAUUUUAUUUUAUUUACUUUCUGUGAUCCUAGUUACUUUAUUUUAGGUAGGUUAAUCAUUGUUCAUGUUAUUGAAAUAGGAAGUUUAAUUUAAAAUUUCGUUAUGCUAGUUGAUUCAUGUAGUUAAUUGUUUAUCUCGUGCAAUGUUGAUCAACUUAAAAUGAUUAGGUUUCCAUUAGUGUAUAUGUAACAGAAUUCUUUUGUUAAGAACCAAUUGUAAUUGAUCGUUAGUGCAUAAGAUUUAACCCCCGGCGAGACCCUUUCCCGUUUCUUUCUAACCAUAACAAAUGCGAUAUCGAAUGUCAUACUUGAUGCAUACUCACUUUAUUUGUUCCCUUGUAUGGUGUACUGUUCUUUUGUAUUAAAUAUGUGGAUGGAUGUAUGUAUGUUUGCAAUCGCAUAGAGAACGAUCCGGUCGAAGAGCCCGAGGAAUUCGCAGGAGAAGCCCCUGAGCAGCAGUCGGUUGGUGGAGGCAAGUGUCCUUUGACCUAUCUCUGUCCUAAUCAUUCUUUAAUUCACCUCCCGCAUCACACAUUUAUACCUAAGGAUUGACUAGCUUUUUGUUAUCCAUGUCCUUGUUUACCUAUUAGGGUCGGAUUAUUACUGCUUAGUUUGAUGCUAUUGCUCAACUUUAAUCAAUGAACAUGAUGUGGUUAUCUAUGAUACGCUGUUUUCCCGUUCUUAUUUAUGAUUAUACUUGUGGCAUUUAAGGGGACUCGAGCGGUUUCUCGAGUGCCUCUCCGUAAGGACCUGUUCAAUGGAUGACCGCCCGGGAAAACAGUGCAACCAUGAGGGUGGAAUGGGGUGCCCUUAGCUGAAUAAUUAGAGGAUCCGGGGUGUAGUUCGCUUCGCCGUCGUGCCGUCAAUGGGGCUCGGUGUAUGCGGCUCGCUCUGCCAAGGUUGAUUUGUCCCUUGGGGAGGAGUGCGGUACAUUUAGGAAACCUAACGGGUGGCUACAGCCCCGGGGAAUCUUUGUAAAGGCUUCGUAGUGAAUCCUUGGCCAUUCACCUCGGGAGUGAAUAAGGGUCUUGCAAGCCCGGGCCAGAGAGGGAAUCACGGCUUGUGGGUAAAGUGCACAACCUCUGCAGAGUGUUAUGAAACUGAUAUAUCAGCCGUGCUCACGGUUAUGAGCGGCCAAGGGAGCUCCAGAGAUUAGUGAUACUUGAUCAGAGAUACUUUGGUACAGGUGACAAUGAGAUUGAUGGUUCUGAUUACGAUUAUGGUAUUGGUAAGUGGUAUUCUUUCCGUUUGGAAAGGAUACAUUGGGCUAAUAACUUGGGUUAAUGUUAAAACCUGGCUUUCUACUAGUAAGUAAUAACCUGACCAACUAAAAGCAACUGCUUGACUUAUCCCCACAUAAAGCUAGUCCACUACAGCCAAACAGGAUACUUGCUGAGUAUGUUGAUGUGUACUCACCCUUGCUCUACACACCAAACCCCCCCCCCCAGGUUGUCAGCAUUGCAACCACUGCUCAGGCGAAGAUGAAGCUGUGGAAGGAGACUUCCAGGAGUUCCAAGACUACGACGAGUUCUAGGUGUGGGUUAGCGGCAACCCCCCAGUCGGCUGCCUGUGAAGGCCGCGUUAUCUACGUUUCUUUUCCGCACUUUGAUUUAUUGUAAGAACUAUAUGGACGUCUCAGACGUAUGAUGUAAUCGACUAUUUCCCUUAUUAAUACUAUUUUGAGCACUGUGUGAUGAUGUCCAUAUUAUGUAACUGCUGUGUACGUGAAUAACUGAUCCUGGCACGUACAUGGUUCGCAUUCGGUUUGCCUUCUAAAACCGGGUGUGACAAAUACAUCAUGAGCUACCAAGUCACCGUCACAUCAUCUAGAGGGGAUGACGCCACAAUGGCCAAGUCUUUUAUCAUUGCCCUCGAGGGUCCGGCCUUGACCUGGUACACCAGGUUGCCGCCAUUGUCCAUCGACUACUGGAAAGGACUCCGGGACAAGUUUCUGCUCAACUUCCAACGGUACUGACCCGAUACCGACGCUUUGGCUGAGCUAUCACUCUGCAAACAGCAAGAGAAGGAAACCCUACGGGAGUACUACCGCAAGUUCCUGACUCUCAAGUCACAACUGCCUUCGGUCGACGACCACAUCGCGAUACACUAUGCCAUCAGCGGCCUUCGGGCUGGCGUCCUAUACAGUCACUGCAUCAGGGACCCACCCAAAACCUCCAAGAGCUCUAUCAGCUGUUCGAGAAGUACGCCAGAUCCGAAGAGCUCCAUCAGCGAAAGGUCGAGUCCCAGAGAAAGCCCAAGGACCCUCUGCAGUCUAGCCGAACCUGGACAAGGCCUUCGCAGUCAGACUCCGGACAGGACAACCGCAGUCAGCAGCAGGUGCACAACAUAGCCAACCAGCACCCCGCUAGCGAGGCCGCUCGCCGUCAGGAAUAUCCCCCCAGGGUCGUGGCAAUGGCACGCGAGGCCGGGGCCGGGGACGGGCGCAGCAACCGCGCAGAUAUUACUGCAUGUUUCACAGUGAGGACUGCGCACACCCAACAAGGGAUUGCCUGGAAACAAAGGCCACCAGGGACAGGAUGUCUCGAGCACAACCAGCCGACAACCAAAGAGUUGUCGCGCACACAUAUCAUCACCACCACCCACAACCAUACAACAACGGCCACGUCCAGCAUCCACCCAACCACGCAUAUCCGCACCAUCAGGAAGUACAAGUCGUUCCACCCCCACCUCCUCCUCCGCAUCACCCAAACCCACACCACCAAAACCACCCCCAAGCGCCAAAGCAGGAAGACUUCGCCGAUCAGCCGUAUCGCGGAGUCAUCCACAUGAUCACCGGAGGGUCCAGCGUCGACUUCGAGACAAAGCGACAAAAGAGGGAUGAUUACCGGAGUGUCAACCAUGUCGCCCUCAUUGGCCCAGUGGUACAAACAAGGUGGUCACAUGUGCCACUAACCUUCAACGCCAGAGAUGUCGAUCUGCGCAGCGCACCUCACGUCGACGCCAUGGUAAUCAACUACAGCGUAGCAGGCUGGGACCUGCACAAAGUCCUAGUUGACAAUGGCAGCCAAGCGGACAUCAUCUUCCUGCACACCUUCGACCGCAUGGGUAUCAGCCACAGCUUACUCAAGCCUUCGGACAACCCCCUAUACGGCUUCGGCGGCAAGGGCACUUUCCGUGUGGGCAAGAUUGAACUACCACUGUCAUUCGGCGUAGCACCUAAUGCGCGGAGUGAGCAGGUCACCUUCAACAUCGUCGACAUGGUUUAUCCCUACAAUUCUAUAAUGGGCUGGGGCUCCAUCAAUAAAUUUGAAGCGGCCAUCCACGGAUUGUACCUAUGCAUGAAAAUUCCAGGUCCGCAAGGCGUGAUAACAGUUUAUGGUAACCAGCAGACUGCGUGCAAUAUCGAGAGAGACUUCGUUCCAGGCCAACGGAACGUACACUGCCUUACAACACAACGCGAAGUCUCCGAAGUGACCCGCCCAACUGCCGACGAAAAAGUUAAGGCGCAGCUACAGAGCAACGACGGAACAAAGAUAAUUCCCCUCGAUCCGGCGACGCCCAAGCAAACGGUCGUGAUAAGCGAAGACCUGACCUCGCGAGACGAGGAGAAACUCAUCUCUUGUCUCUCCCGAAACAAGGACGUCUUCGCUUGGUCCGCCCUCGACCUGAUCAGAGUCAGCCGCACCGUCAUCGAGCAUGGGCAUCGACCCUUCGGUGCGCCCAAAAAAGCAAUGACUGCGUAAAAUGUCCGACGAGAAGACAGAAGCCGCCAAAGCCGAAGUGCACCACCUGCUGGAAGCCAACUUCAUCAAACCAAUCGCCUACCCUACGUGGCUUGCCAACGUAGUCAUGGUACAAAAGAAAAGCGGCAAAUGACGCAUGUGCAUCGACUUCACCAGCUCAACAAGGCCUGCCCCAAGGACAAUUUCCCGCUGCCACGGAUCGACAAAAUAGUCGAUAGCGCAGCCGGGUGCGAAGUCAUGUCCCUUCUCGACUGUUUCUCCGACUACCACCAGAUAUACAUGAAAGAGGAAGAUAAGGCCAGCACCAGCUUAAUCACACCCUUCGGCACGUACUGCUUCAUCAGGAUGCCAGAGGGACUCAAGAACGUCAGGUCAACCUUCUCUCGCCUCACCAAGACAGUGCUCGAAAGCCAAAUGGGCCGCAACAUUUUCACGUACGUGGACGACAUCGUUGUCGCAAGCAAAAAUAAAGAAGAUCACCUGGCUGACCUUGCGGAGACGUUCGCUAACAUGCGGGGUGCACGACUUCGCCUCAACCCCGAGAAGUGCAUCUUCAGAGUUCGCUAGGGCAAGAUACUCGGCUACCUGGUGUCGCACCGCGGGAUCGAGGCUAACCCAACCAAGAUUCAAGCAAUCAUCAACAUGACACCCCCGCAGUCAACCAAGGAUGUCCAACGGUUGACAGGCAGAUUGGCCGCCUUGAACAGAUUCGUUUCCAAGUCCGCAGAGCGGAGUCUACCCUUUCUCAAGACACUGCGCGGCGCAAAAGACUUCGCAUGGGGACCAGAACAAGCGGCAGCCUUCGAGUCGCUUAAGCAACACCUGUCAGACCUGGCAAUUCUUACCAGUCCUGACCCCUCGCUACCUCUGCUGCUCUACAUUGCAGCCUCGCCAUGUGCAGUCAGCGCAGCGCUAAUCCAAGAGCAAGACAGAGAGGGCACGACUCGGUAGUGCCCAGUCUACUACGUCUCUGAAGUCCUCACGACCUCCAAGUGCAACAUGACCGAACUAGAAAAAAUCUCAUACGCAGUUGUCAUGGCAUCGCGCAAGCUGCGCCACUACUUCGAGGCGUUCAAGGUUCGGGUCACCUCGGACAGCGGCCUAGGAGAGCUGUUCAGAAACCCGGAGGCAUCCGUCCGAAUCGCCAAAUGGGCAGCUAAACUCUCUGGGUACCACAUCACCUUCGAACCCCAGACAACAAUCAAGUCACAGGUCCUGGCAGACUUCAUCGUUGACUGGACAGGGCCAGCAUGGCAGCAAGCAGAGUCUCCAAAAAAGGUAUGGACCAUCCACUGCGAUGGCGCAUGGUGCCAUGCGGGUGCAGGAGCAGCGACAAUUAUCAUGUCAUCCACAGGCGUCAAGCACAGAUACACAACACGCCUUCGCUUCGCCUUGGAGUCUGACCGAUGCACCAACAAUAUAGCAGAAUAUGAAGCCGUCAUCCUGGGCCUUCGCAAAUUGCGAGCACUCGGUGUCACCACAUGCAUAGUCAAGACAGAUUCCAAAGUUGUCGCCGGCCAGGUUGAAAAGGAAUAUUCAGCAAAAGACCCCGCGCUCAUGCAGUAUCUUACGGCUGUUCAUAGUCUCGAGAAGCAGUUCAAGGGCUUCACCCUACAACAUGUGAACCGCGCCAGGAACGAAGAGGCCGACGCGUUGGCUAAGGCAGCGGCCAAAGGUGAGACCUUGCCCUCUGACGUGUUCUACCACGUCAUCGGCACACCAGCUAUCCGCAAUCCAGAGGGAUUACAAGUAACUAAUGACGUCGAAGGCCAUCACAUCGUCAACCUCAUCAUGACUGAAGAUUGGCGGGCCCCAAUAACUUUGUAUCUGCAAGGACAUUACCACCCAAGCGACGUCAAUGAGGCCAAACACCUCAAGCACCAAAGCCGGGACUUCGUACUAGUCGGGGGCCAGCUAUACAAAAAGGGGAUCAGUCAGCCCAUGCUAAAGUGCGUGACCGAAACCGAAGGCAUUCAAAUCCUUCGUGAAGUCCACAGCGGAACUUGCGGGUCCCACUCAGGGCCCAGGGCCCUCACUGCCAAGGUGAUCCGUCAAGGAUUUUACUGGCCCGCGAUAAUCUAUACCGCGAAUCGAGUCACUGAAAGUUCCCUUUGCCCGGGAACAGGAUCUGGAUGUCGCCUAGAGGGGGGGGGGGUGAAUAGGCGAAUAAAAAUUAUCACUUUAUAACUGGAAAUUCUUACUCUACUCGAAAGCUGGAUCGCAGUGGAAUGAAGGACCCUUCGAGUAGGUUGCAGCGGAAUUGAAGUCCCUGUCUUAAAAUACCCUGCACUUCGAAGACAGCUUAUAGCACAUAUAAAUAUUGAAGUGCAAGUAUAAACAACAAAUAAGACAGAGAAACAGCACACAGCAUAGAGCAGAGCACACAGACACAGGGAUUUAUCCCGAAGUUCGGCCAAGCCUGAAAUGCUUGCCUAGUCCUCGUUGGAGUUAGCCACACCUUGGCUUGGAGUCUAUUUCAACUCCUUCCUCCGUUUGCUCAGAUCUGUCGGGCGACAGAUAGAGCCUUCCACUAUGUUGAUAUCAGUUACAACAAAGCCGUGGCUGCUUACAAUCUUCUUGACAGCACUCCGGCGGAGUAACAAUGCGCUCAAGACUUUGCUCUAGCUCUUUGCAGCACCUCUCCGCUCUCUAAAGGCUUAUAACUUUGCCUUCACACAAACUAGAGAGAUUUACACAAGAGGGAGAGAGAGAAUCGAUCCGAGUGAUGUAUACAAUUGUUGGCUGCACUUCUAUUCUGCUUGAGGCGCCUAGGGGUCCCUUUUAUAGGCACAAGGGGCCUAGGAGCCGUUGGAAGCAAUCCAGGAAAGCAAAUCUUGCCUUCAGUCGGGUGGUGCACCGGACAGUCCGGUGCACACCGGACACUGUCCGGUGCCCGAUUUCUUUCCUUCUACGGCGAAGCCGACCGUUGGCAGACUUGGAGCCGUUGGCGCACCGGACAUGUCCGGUGCACACCGGACAGUCCGGUGCCCCCACUUGACCGUUGGCUCGCCCACGUGUCACGCGCGGAUUGCGCGGCCGACCGUUGCCCAAGCCGACCGUUGGCUCACCGGACAGUCCGGUGUACACCGGACAGUCCGGUGAAUUAUAGCCGAUCGUCGCCAGACUUCUCCCGAGAGCGGCUUGUUCACCAGAGUUCAGCCGGGCGCACCGGACACUGUCCGGUGCGCCACCGGACAGUCCGGUGUGCCAGACUGAGUUGAGCUUUGACUGUACACAUCCAAGCCUUUUGUAUUCCUUUUCUUCUAUUCUCUGUUUCUAGCACUUAGACAGAUACAUUAGUACACAAAAGCCGAUGUACUAAGUCUAGAAACAUACCUUCUCUUGACUUUCAUUUCUUUAGCAUUUGACAUGCUUUGAGCUUUGAUGUUGGACUCAUAAAUCAUCAAGUCAGCUUGCCUUGAUCUAUAUUAACGUUUCUGAGCUCCAACAUCCUGCGAAGGUCACAUAGAACAUCUCCAAACAUGGGAACAACCCAAACUAAAGGUCAAGGUGCACUUAGCUCUUUUGGGCUGCUUCCAGUCCUGGCUUUGACAUUUGUUCUCCUUCUAGUGACCUUGUUCACUUCUUAGAGCUUGAUCUUGAGCCUUAUGACUUACACCACAUAACUAUAGCUGUUACCUCAUUGGUUGUAAGUCAUGUCCUUAUGUAGUGAUCCUUGAUGUGCCAUAGCUCUUCUCAACUCGAUCACCCUUGACUUUGCAAGUCUUCUUCUUCACCCUUGGCUUUGGGUUCCUCAGCCUCUUUGACCUUCUCCCGUGCACUUGGUACCUCGAAGCUCUUCUUGCCUCCAUCCUUGGCUUGAUCAGUUGUUUCCGAGCUACGCACCCGAGUCUCACUUUAUGCAAUGUCCAUCUUACUUGUGAUGCCUGUUAUCUAUCCAUCAUCUAGUCCUUGGACCAUCACACUUGUUUACUUGUGUUGAACCCUGUUAGCUUUACAUUAAGCACCUGUUCAACACUUAGCACACUUGUUAGUCCUUUAAUUGGGUUGUCAUCCAAACCACCAAAACCCACAAGAGAGCUUUCAAUCUCCCCCUUUUUGGUGAUUGAUGGCAACACAAUUAAAGCUUACACAACAAUAAGAUUUAAAGCACAAAUUUUGAAUUCUAAGUUUAUAGAAUGCUCCCCCUAAAUAUGUGCUUACAUUAAAAUCUUAACUUUGGCCUUAAAUGCCAAAAUGCACAUACUUAGGCUAAUUCGAAGCAUUGCUACACCUUAGCACCUGUGGGAUGCAUUGUGUGAAGAAUCAAACCGUGAAGCAUAUAACACACAAAUGCACAGAAUCAGAGUUAAACACCAAUUAAAUAAAUAUACCAUAGGAAUAUCAACCUACCACUAUUCACCAUUAAGAUACCGAUAUAAAGCGCCAGAACCACAUGAAUAUCUAUCACAGGAUAAACACAGUAGAUACCAAUUGAUUCAUCAAUGGAAGCACUAAUUUUGCAUUAUCACCAUAUAAUACAACAAGAAGCAUAUGAUAAGUAUUAUCAACAAACUAACUCAUUUUUCUUUAAGAUCAAAGGAACUCAAGGAAACCCCUUUGAGUCCUUUAGCACACAAAAAAUUAAUCUUCACCCUUAAGAUAAGCUUUCCUCUCAGGUCGAGGUAAGCUUUAAUGCACAAAUUCUCCCCCUUUGACAUCAAACACCAAAACCAUAUUCAAGCAAGAACAUAGGAUGAUGUCAAGGGACAGCAGAGUAUUAAGCAGGGAAAAUGCAACACUCUAACAUUACUCCCCCUUACACAUUAAACAUAUGCAACACAAGCAUUGGAGAAAAAUUAAGGUACACAUACGCAAACAGGUCAAUACCUCCUUUUGUACCUUUACCAUGUUAUGGUGUACUUCCCAUCUAAGUAGGCGGAGGUCCUUUUGUCAUCAAUUCAAGAUUUCCAUCUUGAAAGUUUUAUCUCUAGGGAGCUCCUUUACACUUAUGUCUGAUCCUUUAUCCUGACCAAUUACUCGACUUGUGGAGGUACCCAAAUCCUGAUCGCUUCAUUUCUUGCUCAUCUUCCCUUUUCCACCUUGAGACUAUAUAAGAUCACUAAAAAAAACAGUUAGUCUCAAAAGACACAAGUUAUGUGUGCUCCCCCUAAAGUUGUGCAUCAAGUAUUUGAAUGAUUUGCACCUUGCACAUUCUAGCAUCCUCAGAAGUAAAGGGGAAACAUACCUUGGUCUAGGCAUAAUAUAUCAAUUACAUCACAAAAAGAUACCAAUUGAAUAGAUGAGAUAAUACAACUUAUGACUAGUGGAAACAAUGCAUGCCUCAUGAUAUAUAACAUUUAAAAACACCAAGGCACGCUUCACACAUGAUGACCAUUGCAACACAUAUACCAAUUGAAAAACGACAAGAUCAUACAUAUAAAGCACAAUGUCUAAGCACACCAUGAUUAAGAAGUAUUUUCUUAGGUACACCAAAGGAAACACAUUUUAAAGCAUAAAGCACCUAAGCCAAGAUACUACCAAUUGAAAGGCAAGAACAUAGCUAUGAUCACAAUCAACGGAACUUCAAGAUAUUAAAUGAAAUUGUAUAGUUCCAUUCUCCAUACCUUUGCCUUUUACCUGAAUGCCAUGAGAUUCAUUCUUUUAGGUAGUGUGUAGUGAAAGCACCUGUUGUCACCAAUUUAGGGCUCCUUUUGCUCAUGCACCUCAUAGCUCGAGAGGGUGCAUUAGAGACACAACAUGGAUUUCUUGUUUUGGUAUACACAGAGUACCAAGACAAAGUAAUCAUGUGAACAUGGACUAAACAAAACUAUCAUGCUUGCACAUAGGUUAAUCAUUAAAAAAAACAUAGCAUGACUUACAAAAAGAUACAUGUUUAUCCACAUACACCAAGAGAGUUAAUCAUGGUGGAUAUAUCAAAUGAAAAGCUACCCAUUGAAUGAUUCAAGAGAUAUACCCUAUAAAGCACACAGUUACGAUUAAGCAAGCAUGAUUAUGAUCUUGGAAAUCAUGGAUCAUUAAUUGAAAGAUAUUCAACACAAGAAAUCUCAAAAGCAUAACUACUCCAAGGAUAGGUAUAGCACGACAAUCCAACUUAAAAGCAAUGCUGAUUAGAAAUAAUGCACUUAAGAUACACGGGUACCGUCCUUUGGAGAGCAAGUUGCAGAUUCUCAUCAAAGUCCUUCGCUUGAUUCACCAAUAAUGAUCAAGGACAUCUACAACUUAUUUAACUCGAGAUGAACAUGGGAUUAGUAUUGCACAAUAAUUCAACCUUGGGUCAAUAAAUAGACAUUAAAAUUGAUAGCUUAAGCAUAGAGUUUGAAUUAACCAUCUUAAGCUCUCCCAGGGUCUCCAGUCCAUCUCGAGGCACCUGCAUGGUCUAGUUGGCAUGGUUUGGUACCCAUCUCGAGAUGGGUCCAUAACGUUCAUCUAAAAGGGCCUUUGGUACCCAAAUAGCAGUUGUGCUAGUUCUAGGUGAUCUCAUUACUAAUCUAGCACAAGUGUAUGAUUUGGGUCUCCUAAGCGAAUAAUAUUGAGAUAAAUUUACUUGUUUAGGAACCUUACCCUUCUUACAUACCUUAGGUAGAUGACCAUGCUCACCACACAUGUAGCAGAAGCGUCGCUCAACCUGACUUGACACUUGUUGUUUGUCUUUUUGCUUAGUGAGGGUCAUCUUGGAGGGUGCACGUUUUUGAUUCUUCAUGAGCGGACAUGAAGUGAUCAUAUGGUCCUUAUCGUUGCAUCCAAAGCAUCUCCUCAUUCCUUCAUCCUUGUCUUUGUGUGGACAAGACGCAAUGAAGUGACCUAAUUCCUUGCACUUGAAGCACCUCCUUUUUCCUCUUCCCUUUUUGCUCUUGGAUGACAUAGAGAGAUGAUCAGUGCAAACAACAUGACUAAUUGAAUUUUUACCUUUUUCCUCGUUCAUGUUGAUUUCUUCAUUUAUAGCUUUGGGAACAUUCUUCUUAUUGAGCUUAACACUUGCUGCAGUUUUUCCUUUCUCAAGCUUCUUCACCACGCGCCCGUGGAUAUCUUGAGAGAGUUGAGCUAAGCGUCUUCUCCUCAGUUGUCGUUGCUUCUUAUUCCCACAGAAUUUCUUUUGUGACCCUAAAACUUGUUGCUCAAUCAAUGAUUGGCUUUCUUUUGAGCAACAGGGGUUAGCACAUGAUGAUAUACAAUUCAAAUGCGCACACGUGCGAGAAUGGGGUUCACAUGAAUUUAAGUUUGAAAUUACAACCUCAUGAGCAAUAUUAAGCAUGAUAUGGUCAUCAACUAAUUCAUUAUGAGAAUAAGAUAGCAUAUCAUAUUUUUCACUUAGAGCAAGUUUUUCUAAAUUUAUCAUUUCUACUUGACUCUUAAGCAUAGAAUUCUCAGUUUUAAGUUGAGCAACAUCAGAUAAUACAUCAUGAUUAUUUCUUUGCUCAAAUAAAAUAGAUUCAUACCGAUGGACCAAAUUAUCAUGAGAGCACUUUAGCUCCUCAUGUUCUUUGGUCAUCUUCUCCAGGCUGUCGUUGGUUUUGAUGAGAGUCUCCUCUAGCCUGAGAAGCGUCUCGCCUUGUUCCUUGUUCCUCCUCAACAACUUAACUAAGAGCACUUUGUCUUCUUUGUUGAGAUGGGUGUAGAACCGGCGAAUCUCCUCUUCUUCCACAUCACCGGUCUUAUUUUCCCUGUCAUUAUUAUUAGUGGAAGUAGUACAGGAAAAUGUACCUUGUGGUGAUGAAGACUCAUCCUCGCUAUCAUCCUCAUAUUCCUCCUCAUCAUCGCUUUCGUCUCCUCCAUCAUUGUUAGCAAUAAGACAUUUAUAACUAGUGGAAGACAAACCUGUCGACGAGGUGGAUUCAUUGUUGGGUGCCCAUCGUUCUUGAUCUUCUCCCUUUGAAAGGUUAGUAUCACAAGCAAUAUAGGGAGUAGAAGCAGUACAAUUUGCCACACAAUAUUUUACUUUAAUUCUAUUCCAUAAAUCAUGAGCAUCAACAAUUAAAUCAUUACCACUACUCAUGAUGGCAAAAUAAGCACCUCUAGAAAGAGAAUCAACUAAGAUGCUGCAAGCACGGUGAUUGAGAGAAAAACAUCUUAGUUCAUCAUUAGAGGGAUUUUUACUAAUAUCAGAUGGAAAAAUACUUCUCCUAAAGAUCUGUCUCAAAUCAGGAUCAACACUCAUGAAAGCAUUAUAAAUAGAGACAGACCAAGAUUUGUAAUUAGAGCCAUCGCCUAAAAGAAGUUCUACAGUUACCUCUUGUGACGACAUCGUUAUCUCCGGACGGCUAAGCCCACACUGGAGAGGCCUAGCUCUGAUACCAAUUGAAAGUUCCCUUUGCCCGGGAACAGGAUCUGGAUGUCGCCUAGAGGGGGGGGGUGAAUAGGCGAAUAAAAAUUAUCACUUUAUAACUGGAAAUUCUUACUCUACUCGAAAGCUGGAUCGCAGUGGAAUGAAGGACCCUUCGAGUAGGUUGCAGCGGAAUUGAAGUCCCUGUCUUAAAAUACCCUGCACUUCGAAGACAGCUUAUAGCACAUAUAAAUAUUGAAGUGCAAGUAUAAACAACAAAUAAGACAGAGAAACAGCACACAGCAUAGAGCAGAGCACACAGACACAGGGAUUUAUCCCGAGGUUCGGCCAAGCCUGAAAUGCUUGCCUAGUCCUCGUUGGAGUUAGCCACACCUUGGCUUGGAGUCUAUUUCAACUCCUUCCUCCGUUUGCUCAGAUCUGUCGGGCGACAGAUAGAGCCUUCCACUAUGUUGAUAUCAGUUACAACAAAGCCGUGGCUGCUUACAAUCUUCUUGACAGCACUCCGGCGGAGUAACAAUGCGCUCAAGACUUUGCUCUAGCUCUUUGCAGCACCUCUCCGCUCUCUAAAGGCUUAUAACUUUGCCUUCACACAAACUAGAGAGAUUUACACAAGAGGGAGAGAGAGAAUCGAUCCGAGUGAUGUAUACAAUUGUUGGCUGCACUUCUAUUCUGCUUGAGGCGCCUAGGGGUCCCUUUUAUAGGCACAAGGGGCCUAGGAGCCGUUGGAAGCAAUCCAGGAAAGCAAAUCUUGCCUUCAGUCGGGUGGUGCACCGGACAGUCCGGUGCACACCGGACACUGUCCGGUGCCCGAUUUCUUUCCUUCUACGGCGAAGCCGACCGUUGGCAGACUUGGAGCCGUUGGCGCACCGGACAUGUCCGGUGCACACCGGACAGUCCGGUGCCCCCACUUGACCGUUGGCUCGCCCACGUGUCACGCGCGGAUUGCACGGCCGACCGUUGCCCAAGCCGACCGUUGGCUCACCGGACAGUCCGGUGUACACCGGACAGUCCGGUGAAUUAUAGCCGAUCGUCGCCAGACUUCUCCCGAGAGCGGCUUGUUCACCAGAGUUCAGCCUGGCGCACCGGACACUGUCCGGUGCGCCACCGGACAGUCCGGUGUGCCAGACUGAGUUGAGCUUUGACUGUACACAUCCAAGCCUUUUGUAUUCCUUUUCUUCUAUUCUCUGUUUCUAGCACUUAGACAGAUACAUUAGUACACAAAAGCCGAUGUACUAAGUCUAGAAACAUACCUUCUCUUGACUUUCAUUUCUUUAGCAUUUGACAUGCUUUGAGCUUUGAUGUUGGACUCAUAAAUCAUCAAGUCAGCUUGCCUUGAUCUAUAUUAACGUUUCUGAGCUCCAACAUCCUGCGAAGGUCACAUAGAACAUCUCCAAACAUGGGAACAACCCAAACUAAAGGUCAAGGUGCACUUAGCUCUUUUGGGCUGCUUCCAGUCCUGGCUUUGACAUUUGUUCUCCUUCUAGUGACCUUGUUCACUUCUUAGAGCUUGAUCUUGAGCCUUAUGACUUACACCACAUAACUAUAGAUGUUACCUCAUUGGUUGUAAGUCAUGUCCUUAUGUAGUGAUCCUUGAUGUGCCAUAGCUCUUCUCAACUCGAUCACCCUUGACUUUGCAAGUCUUCUUCUUCACCCUUGGCUUUGGGUUCCUCAGCCUCUUUGACCUUCUCCCGUGCACUUGGUACCUCGAAGCUCUUCUUGCCUCCAUCCUUGGCUUGAUCAGUUGUUUCCGAGCUACGCACCCGAGUCUCACUUUAUGCAAUGUCCAUCUUACUUGUGAUGCCUGUUAUCUAUCCAUCAUCUAGUCCUUGGACCAUCACACUUGUUUACUUGUGUUGAACCCUGUUAGCUUUACAUUAAGCACCUGUUCAACACUUAGCACACUUGUUAGUCCUUUAAUUGGGUUGUCAUCCAAACCACCAAAACCCACAAGAGAGCUUUCAGUCACGAGGUCUUGCGAAGCAUGCCAGAAGUUUUCACCCCGCUCGAGCAACCCUUCGCAGUUCACCAAGCUGAUCGCCCACACAUGGCCACUUCAACGUUGGGGGCUGGAUAUUGUCGGACCACUACCUACGGCUCAAGGGAACCUCAAAUUCACCUACGUCACCGUCGAGUACUUCACCAAGUGGAUCGAGGCCAGAGCAGUAUCCACAAUAACGUCGAAGACCGCCCAAAAGUUCUUCUGGAAAAACAUUGUCUACCGAUUUGGAGUCCCGUCCGAGCUCACAGUCGACAACGGCAAACAGUUUGACAACCAGGACUUCAGGGAUUUCUGUUUCUCCAUCGGCACCAAGCCUGUCUUCGCCUCGGUAUACCACCCGCAAUCCAACAGCGUCGUCGAGCGUGCCAACAGCAAGAUUUUCAUUGCCAUCAAGAAAAGACUUCUUGACGACAAGAAGGGCAAAUGGGCUGACCAACUACUAGAAGUGGUCUGGGCCCUAAACACGACCGAAUGCUGGGCAACCGGAUUCACACCUUUUCGUCUAUUAUAUGAAUCCGAGGCCAUGACGCCGCAGGAGAUAAAGCAUGGGUCGCCCUGAACAAGCACAUCAGCGGUCCCCGACGUCGAUGAACCAACGCCUAAAGAUCUCAUCGACGGAGACCGCGUCCUCGCCCUGUAGGCCCUCAAUAAAUAUCAGGCUCAAACCAAGGCCUGGCGUGACAACGCGGUCGUCCCAAGAGAGUUCAACAAAGGAGACCUCGUACUCGUCCGGACCACCCGAACAGAAUCAUGGGCCAAGCUGGAGCCGAAAUGGGAGGGUCCAUUCAUCGUCAAGUCGAAGGCAUCCCCCAGCGCGUACAGGCUAGUAACGCCUUCCGGCGAAGACUUAGAGCACUCCUGGAACAUUGACAAUCUCUGAAAUUUUUUGUCUAACCAUCAGGCCCACGCGCUCUUGUAAUCCAGCAAACAAUGUUAUUCCGGCCCACACUCUUUUCCUCCCGGGAGAUGAGGUUUUUAACGAGGUGGAGCCAUGUAAUAUACCAGCAAAAGCCCCCGCAAAAACAAAAACUCAGACGCAACGUGUUGAAAAAUACCGCAUCGACGGUCUUCGGCAUUCGACCACUCCGAAGUCACCGCGACAGGUAGUGUAGACUACCCUCGCGUGCGACACUCCGCACAAAAGUCGCCUAAUGGUGCAGCCGGAAUAGCACAACAAGUGCGUUAAUCGAAGUCUUUUAUUAAAGACACUCCGUGCAAAAGUCGCCUAAGGGUGCAGCCGGAAUAGCACAACAAGUGCGUUAAUCAAAGUCUUUUAUUAAAAAGACACUCCGUGCAAAAGACGCCUAAGGGUGCAGCCGGAAUAGCACAACAAGUGCGUCAAUCGAAGUCUUUUAUUAAAGACACUUCGUGCAAAAGACGCCUAAGGGUGCAGUCGGACAAGCACAAUAAGUGAACCAUCGAAGUCUUUUUCUGAAAAGACACUCCAUGCCAAAGUUUCCUAAGGAUGCCACCGGACAAGCGCAGCAAGUACGUCAAUCGACACUGAAAGUCGCCUAGAGGGGGGGUGAAUAGGAAAAUCUGAAAUUUAUAAAUUUAAGCACACACUACAAGCUGGGGUUAGCGUUAGAAAUAGAAACGAGUCUGAAAGAGAGGGCGAAAACAAAUCAUAAGCGAAUAAGAGCGGAUGACACGGUGAUUUGUUUUACCAAGGUUCGGUUCUUGCAAACCUACUCUCCGUUGAGGUGGUCACAAAGACCGGGUCUCUUUUAACCCUUUCCCUCUCUCAAACGGUCACCUAGACCGAGUGAGCCUUUCUCUUCAAUCAAAUGGGACACUAAGUCCACUACAAGGACCACCACAACUUGGUGUCUCUUGUUUUGAUUACAAGUGAGUUGAACACAAGAAUAGAGGAAGAAGAAAAGCAAUCCAAUCGCAAGAGCUCAAAUGAACACAAAUGUCUCUCUCUCUAGUCACUAAUUUGGUUGGAGUGAUUCCGGACUUGGGAGAGGAUUUGAUCUCUUUGUUUGUGUCUUGUAUUGAAUGCUAUAGCUCUUGUAUGAGGUUUGAAGGCUGAAAACUUGGAUGCAAUGAAUGGUGGGUGGUUGGGGGUAUUUAUAGCCCCAACCACCAAAGUGACCGUUGGUGAGGGCUUCUGUCGCAUGGCGCACCGGACUAGGGAUGGCAACGGGUUUAAAACCCGCGGGUAUAGAGAUUACAAACCCGUACCCGCGAGAUUAAUGUUAAACCCGUACCCGCACCCGCUACCCGCGACGGGUAGCGUAUGUUACCCAAACCCGCUACCCGCGGGUUUAUGGCACCCGCGGGUACACCCGCGGGCACAAUACCCACAAGUUGUCAUAUUAUAUAUAUAUAUACAUACAUAUACAUAUAUAUACAUAUAUAUACAUACAUACACAUACAUAUAUAUACAUACAUAUAUAUACAUAUAUAUAUACAUAUACAUACAUAUAUAUAUAUACAUAUACAUACAUAUAUACAUAUAUAUAUAUACACACGCGCGUGGGUAUGCGGGUUUGCGGGCACGGGUACAACAUUUUCAUACCCACGAGAAAAACCCGUCGGGUUGAGAAUCAAACCCGUACCCACGGGUACAAACUCACACCCAAACCCGCACCCUAUAGGGUUUUUACCCGCGGGCACGCGGGUAAAAUGUGCCCGUUGCCAUCCCUACACCGGACAGUCCGGUGCGCCAGCCACGUCACUCGGCCGUUGGGUUCUGACCGUUGGAGAUUCUGACAGCUGGGCCACCGGACAGUCACUAUUCACUAUCCAGUGCGCCUUCUGGCGCCUGUCCUAACUUCUGCGCGCGCAGGCGCGCACUGUAGCGCAUUUAUUGUUUGUUGCAGACGACCGUUGGCGCUGUGUAGCCGUUACUCCUCUAGCGCACCGGAUAGUCCGGUGCUACACCGGACAGUCCGGUGAAUUAUAGCAGAGCGGCUCUCAGAAUUCCCAAAGGUGGCAAGUUCGGAGUUGGGUUCCCUGGUGCACCGGACACUGUCUGGUGGUGCGCCGGACAGUCCGGUGCGCCAGACUUGGGCACACUUCGGUAGUCUUUUGCUCUUUUUGUUUGAACCCUUGGUCUUUUUAUUGGUUUGUUGUGAACCUUUGUCACCUGUAAAACUUAUAAUCUAGAGCAAACUAGUUAGUCCAAUUAUUUGUGUUGGGCAAUUCAACCACCAAAAUCAAUUAGGAAAAGGUGUAAGCCUAUUUCCCUUUCAAUCUCCCCCUUUUUGGUGAUUGAUGCCAACACAAACCAACGCAAAUAUAGAAGUGCAGAAUUGAACUAGUUUGCAUAAUGUAAGUGCAAAGGUUGCUUGGAAUGAAACCAAUAAUUAUUUCUACUAGAUAUGCAUGGAUGGCUUUCUUCUAAUUUAAAAUUUUGGACCACGCUUGCACCACUUGUUUUGUUUUGCAAUGUUUUGGAAAUUCUUUUUCAAAAAUCUUUUGCAAAUAGUCAAAGGUAUAUGAAUAAGAUUUUGAGAAGCAUUUUCAAGAUUUGAAAUUUUCUCCCCUGUUUCAAAUGCUUUUCCUUUGACUAAACAAAACUCCCCCUUAAUGAAAUCCUUCUCUACCCUGUGUGGCUCAAUAGAGGAAACAAAAGAGUAAUGUUCACAAAAAUGAGCAACACGAGAUCGAGUGGUUACCCCCUUAUGAAUAUCACCGAGGAUGGUGUUCACGGGGUGAUCUCGUUGAAUUGCUUGGUGGACUCUUGGGUGUGGCGGUCUUGGACCCUCAUCAUCUUCCUUGUCUUGAUCAUUAGCAUCUCCCCCUUGAUCAUUGUCCUCCUCUUGAGGUGGCUCCUCUUGAUCUUCAUCAUCAUCAUCUUGAGCUUGAUCCUCAUCUUGAGUUGGUGGAGAUGCUUGCAUUGAGGAAGAUGGUUGAUCUUGUGCAUGUGGAGGCUCUUCGGAUUCCUUAGGACACACAUCCCCAAUGGACAUGUUCCUUAGCGCGACGCAUGGAGCCUCUUCAUCAUCUAGCUCAUCAAGAUCAACUUGCUCUACUUGAGAGCCGUUAGUCUUAUCAAACACAAUGUCACAAGAAACUUCAACUAGUCUAGUGGACUUGUUAAAGACUCUAUAUGCCCUUGUGUUUGAAUCAUAACCAAGUAAAAAGCCUUCUAUAGCCUUAGGAGCAAAUUUAGAUUUUUUACCUCUUUUAACAAGUAUAAAGCAUUUGCUACCAAAGACUCUAAAAUAUGAAACAUUGGGCUUUUUACCGGUGAGGAGUUCAUAAGAUGUCUUCUUGAGGAUUCGGUGUAGAUAUAACCGGUUGAUGGUGUAGCAGGCGGUGUUGACUGCCUCGGCCCAAAACCGAUCCGAAGUCUUGUAUUCAUCAAGCAUGGUCCUUGCCAUGUCCAAUAGAGUUCUAUUCUUCCUCUCCACUACACCAUUUUGUUGUGGUGUGUAGGGAGAAGAGAACCCAUGCUUGAUGCCCUCCUCCUCAAGGAAGCCUUCUAUUUGUGAGUUCUUGAACUCCGUCCCGUUGUCGCUUCUAAUCUUUUUGAUCCUUAAGCCGAACUCAUUUUGAGCCCAUCUCAAGAAUCCCUUUAAGGUUUCUUGGGUUUGUGAUUUUUCCUGCAAAAAGAACAACCAAGUGAAGCGAGAAUAAUCAUCCAUAAUAACUAGACAGUACUUACUCCCACCGAUGCUUAUGUAAGCUAUCGGGCCGAAUAGGUCCAUGUGGAGUAGCUCAAGCGGCCUAUCAGUCGUCAUGAUGUUCUUGUGUGGAUGGUGAACACCAACUUGCUUCCCUGCUUGACAUGCGCUACAAACCCUGUCUUUCUCAAAAUGAACAUUGGUUAGUCCCAAAAUGUGCUCUCUCUUUAGAAGCUUGUGAAGAUUCUUCAUCCCAACAUGGUCUAGUCAGCGGUGCUAGAGCCAACCCAUGUUAGUCUUAGAAAUUAAGCAAGUGUCGAGUUCAGCUUUAUUGAAAUCAACUAAGUAUAGCUGACCCUCUAACACUCCCUUAAAUGCUACUGAAUCAUCACUUCUUCUAAAGACAGUAACACCUAUAUCUGUAAGAAGACAGUUGUAACCCAUUUUACAUAAUUGAGAAACAGAAAGCAAAUUGUAAUCUAAGGAAUCUACAAGAAAAACAUUGGAAAUAGAAUGGUCAGGAGAUAUAGCAAUUUUACCCAAUCCUUUGACCAAACCUUGAUUUCCAUCCCCGAAUGUGAUAGCUCGUUGGGGAUCUUGAUUUUUCUCAUAUGAGGAGAACAUCAUUUUCUCCCUUGUCAUGUGGUUUGUGCACCCGCUAUCGAUGAUCCAACUUGAGCCUCCGGAUGCAUAAACCUACAAAACAAAUUUAUGCCUUGUUCUUAGGUACCCAAACGGUCUUGGGUCCUUUGACAUUAGAAACAAGCACCUUGGGUACCCAAACACAAGUCUUUGACCCCUUGUGUUUGCCCCCAACAUAUUUGGCAACUACUUUGCCUGAUUUGUUAGUUAGCACAAAUGAUGCAUCAAAAGUCUUAAAUGAAACAUUAGGUUCAUUUGAUGCAAUAGGAGUUUUUUUCUUAGGCAAUUUAACAUGAGUGGAUUGCCUAGAACUAGAUGCCUCACUCUUAUACAUAAAAGCAUGAUUAGAGCCAGAGUGAGACUUCCUAGAGUGAAUUCUCCUAAUUUUGUGCUCGGGAUAACCGGCAGGGUAUAAAAUGUAACCCUUGUUAUCCUGAGGCAUGGGAGCUUUGCCCUUAACAAAGUUAGACAAUCUUUUAGGAGGGGCAUUAAGCUUGACAUUGUCUCCCUUUCGGAAGCCAAUGCCAUCCUUAAUGUCAGGGCGUCUCCCAUUAUAAAGCAUACUACAAGCAAAUUUAAAAUUUUCAUUUUCUAACUCAUGCUCGGCAAUUUUAGCAUCUAAUUUUGCUAUAUGAUCAUUUUGUUGUUUAAUCAUAGCAAUGUGAUCAUGAAUAGCAUCAAAGUUAACAUCUCUACAUCUAGUGCAAAUAGUAACAUGCUCAACGGUAGAUGUAGAGGGUUUGCAAGAAUUUAGUUCAACAAUCUUAGCAUGUAAAAUGUCAUUCUCAUCUCUAAGAAUGGUAAUUGAAACAUUGCAAACAUCUAAAUCCUUAGCCUUAGUAAUUAGUUUUUCAUUCUCAAUUUUAAGGCUAGAGAGCGAUGCAUUCAAAUUGUCAAUCUUAGUAAUCAAACUAGCAUUAUCAUUUCUAAGACUAACAAUUGAAUCAUCACAAAUAUCUAACUUCUCAACCUUAGCAAUUAGUUUGGCAUUUUCAUUUCUAAGGUUGGAAAUAACAUCAUGGCAAGUGCUUAGCUCACUAGACAAUUUUUCACAUUUUUCUACUUCCUGAGCAUAAGCAUUUUUAGUCUUAACAUGCUUUUUGUUUUCCUUAAUAAGGAAGUCCUCUUGGCUAUCCAAGAGUUCAUCCUUCUCAUGAAUAGCACUAAUUAAUUCAUUCAAUUUCUCUUUUUGUUGCAUGUUAAGAUUAGCAAAAAGAGUGAGCAAGUUAUCUUCAUCAUCACUAGAAUUAUCCUCAUCACUAGAGGUUGCAUACUUAGUGGAGGAUCUUGAUUUUACCUUCUUCUUCUUGCCGUCCUUUGCCAUGAGGCACUUGUGGCCGACGUUGGGGAAGAGAAGGCCUUUGGUGACGGCGAUGUUUGCGGCGUCCUCGUCGGAGGAGUCGGUGGAGCUCUUGUCGGAGUACCACUCCCGGCAAACGUGGGCAUCACCGCCCUUCUUCUUGUAGUACCUCUUCUUUUCUCUUCUCUUUCCCUUCUUGUCGUCGCCCCUGUCACUAUCACUUGAUAAUGAACAUUUUGCAAUAAAAUGACCGGGCUUACCACACUUGUAGCAAACUUUCUUGGAGCGGGGCUUGUAGUCCUUCCACUCCUUUGCUUGAGGAUUUGGCGGAAGCUCUUGAUGAUGAGCGCCAUCUCCUCAUUGUCGAGCUUGGAGGCGUCGAUGCCGACCCUACUCAGUGUAGAGUCUUCUUUCCUAUCCUCCGUUGCCUUGAGUUGUGUCUCGGGUACGGAGGAGGAGGCGCCUUGCUCGAUCAUCAAUUCAAAGCUCACAAAUUUUCCUAUUACUUCCUCGAGAGACAUUAGUUUAUAUCUUGGAUCACCACUAAUUAAUUGAACUUGAGUAGGGUUAAGAAAUACGAGUGAUCUAAGAAUAACCUUGACCAUCUCAUGGUCAUCCCAUUUGGUGCUCCCGAGGUUGCGCACUUGGUUCACCAAUGUCUUGAGCCGGUUGUACAUUGCUUGUGGCUCCUCCCCUUGGUGAAGCAUGAAGCGACCGAGCUCCCCCUCGAUCGUUUCCCUCUUGGUGAUCUUGGUCACCUCGUCUCCUUCAUGCUCGGUUUUGAGCACGUCCCAAAUCUCUUUGGCGCUCUUCAACCCUUGCACCUUAUUAUACUCCUCUCGACUUAGAGAGGCGAGGAGUAUAGUGGUGGCUUGGGAGUUGAAGUGUCAGAUUUGGGCAACUUCGUCUGAGUCAUAGUCCUCAUCCCUCGGCGAUGGUAUCUGUACUCCAAUCUCAACAACAUCCCAAAAACUAGUGUGGAGUGAGAUUAGAUGGUGCCUCAUUUUGUCACUCCACAUAUUAUAAUCUUCACCAUCAAACAUGGGUGGUUUGACUAAUGGGACGGAAAGUAAAGGAGUACGUUUGGAAAUGCGAGGAUAGCGUAGGGGGAUCUUACUAAACUUCUUGCGCUCAUGGCGCUUAGAAGUGACGGACGGCGUGUCGAAGCCGGAGGUGGAUGGCGAUGAAGAGUCGGUCUCGUAGUAGACCAAUUUCUUCAUCUUAUUUUUCUUCUCACCGCUCCGACGCGACUUGUCGUGUGAAGGGGAUCCCUUCACCUUGUUGCCGGACUCCCUGGAUGGAGCCUUCCCAUGGCUUGUGGCGGGCUUCUCGCCGGUCACCAUCUCCUUCUUGGCGUGAUCUCUCGACAUCACUUCGAGCGGUUAGGCUUUAAUGAAGUACCAGGCUCUGAUACCAAUUGAAAGUCGCCUAGAGGGGGGUAAAUAGGCAAUUCUGAAAUUUAUAUACUUAAGCACACACUACAAGCUACGGUUAGCGUUAGAAAUAGAAACGAGUCCGAAAGAGAGGGCGAAAACAAAUCACAAGCGAAUAAGAGCGGAUGACACGGUGAUUUGUUUUACCGAGGUUCGGUUCUUGCAAACCUACUCCCCGUUGAGGUGGUCACAAAGACCGGGUCUCUUUCAACCCUUUCCCUCUCUCAAACUGUCACUUAGACCGAGUGAGCCUUUCUCUUCAAUCAAAUGGGACACUAAGUCCACUACAAGGACCACCACAACUUGGUGUCUCUUGUUUUGAUUACAAGUGAGUUGAACACAAGAAUAGAGGAAGAAAAAAAGCAAUCCAAGCGCAAGAGCUCAAAUGAACACAAAUGUCUCUCUCUCUAGUCACUAAUUUGGUUGGAGUGAUUCCGGACUUGGGAGAGGAUUUGAUCUCUUUGUUUGUGUCUUGUAUUGAAUGCUAUAGCUCUUGUAUGAGGUUUGAAGGCUGAAAACUUGGAUGCAAUGAAUGGUGGGUGGUUGGGGGUAUUUAUAGCCCCAACCACCAAAGUGACCGUUGGUGAGGGCUUCUGUCGCAUGGCGCACCAGACAGUCCGGUGCACCACCAGACAUUGUCCGGUGCGCCAGCCAUGUCACCCGGCCGUUGGGUUCUGGCCGUUGGAGCUUCUGACAGCUGGGCCACCGGACAGUCCGGUGGUGCACCGGACAGUCACUGUUCACUGUCUGGUGCGCCUUCUGGCGCCUGUCCUGACUUCUGCGUGCGCAGGCGCGCACUGUAGCGCAUUUAUUGUUUGUUGCAGACGACCGUUGGCGCUGUGUAGCUGUUACUCCUCUGGCGCACCGAACAGUCCGGUGCGACACCGGACUGUCCGGUGCCACACCGGACAGUCCGGUGAAUUAUAGCGGAGCGGCUCUCAGAAUUCCCGAAGGUGGCAAGUUCGGAGUUGGGUUCCCUGGUGCACCAGACACUGUCCGGUGGCACACCGGACAGUCCGGUGCGCCAGACCAGGGCACACUUCGGUAGUCUUUUCCUCUUUUUGUUUGAACCCUUUCUUGGUCUUUUUAUUGGUUUGUUGUGAACCUUUGUCACCUGUAAAACUUAUAAUCUAGAGCAAACUAGUUAGUCCAAUUAUUUAUGUUGGGCAAUUCAACCACCAAAAUCAAUUAGGAAAAGGUGUAAGCCUAUUUCCCUUUCAGACACUCCGCGCAAAAGUCGCCUACAGGUGCAGCCGGAUCAGCACAGGCGUGCAAAAACGGCCAAUAGGCCACAUUACAAUACAAGUCGCAGUUACAUACACACAGGAGGGCACCAUACACUACAUCGGCUCAACCUUCAGGAUGAUACCCAACUCCCUAUAAUUGAACAACAUUAUUCUCAAUUCCUCACCCUCAAAAAGAUUUCAUAGAUCCCCCUCACCUAUGCUCGUCCCAAUCGGCAAGGACAACAGUUCUCGUUUACCAAUCUGGUCUACUCAAAGACGACCUCGCUCCAUCCCCAUACGAUGGCGCCUACCACUUCGCGAAACCUCACCCAAGCUAUGCUUCGACACCACCCUUCGCCGCCUGUACUUGGUCCUCACGCUAGGAAGAUCAGCUGCCUCGCCAACCCCCACACGCGGCAAGGACACCGCCGCAGCCACAUCUAAUGCAGCAAAAUAAUCCAAGCCUUCAUCCGAGGACUCUUCAGUCCAGGAAAACAAACUCCCAGACUCACCAUCAGACUCAAAACACUCAGAUCCAGAGCCAAAUAAAUUAUCAUCGGCAGGCACAACGGUUGCGGCCGCCACAAAAUUAGUAUUGCCAGCAGCGGUUGCUUGCGCAGGCCCAAACGAUGGAACCUGCGCAGCAACCGAGGUUCAGUAUCACAAAAACAAAAGUUUACACCGAAAGCCCUAGACCCUAUUCCGCCACCUACGAAGGGUCGGCCGACGCCGCUGGGUCUUUGACAGCUAGUUCGCCCACCACCAUCGAAGUGUCCUCACCCGUCGGCGCAGCGGCCGGCACAGGGUCUUCGCCAGCACCAGUCAGCGUGGGGGUCACCAAGGGGCCCUCGCCAACAUCGGAUGGCGGCGACAGCUCCACCCCCGAUGCCUUGGGCAGUGUGCUAUCUAGACCCCCGAGGUCCUCGACCUCUUCAUCAUGCGCCAUCUAUAGUAAUAACACAUUCAUUCAACAACCACACAAAUACACACACAUACCCACACAUAUAAUCACACAUAUACACUUUUACCUGAUCCAUCGCCCGGUCGGACCUCUCCCGGACAGUCUCACGGCCGUGAGGGCCCACAUCCUAUCGUAAAGCGUCCCAGUCAACUGCUUCAGCACCGGGUCCUCAACCUAGAAGAUUUCGCGCUGGAAGUCUUCGUCCGAUUGGUCGAAGACCUCGAAGUGCCCGCAUCCCUCGUGGGACAAGGCAUUCAUGGCCCCUUCGCAGGUGAUGAGGGAGGCGAAGGACAUGAGGCCCGUCACAAUCGUCGGGAGCACCUCGAGCUCCUCUUGCAGCCACCCAAGGAAGUGGAGGUCCACCUCCUGACCGGACGCUUCAAAGGGAGCAGUCCACGCACCAAGUUCCUGGUACACGUCCACGAGCUGUGCGUGCGUCCGGUCGACCUCCGCGCGCGUAGAGGCCUCUACUUUGUCCAGAUGGUCGCGCAGGCCACAGAGCCUCGUUUCCAUCUCCUCGGCGUGUUGGCGGGCGAGACUGGACUCCGCCCGCGCAAGUUUGGCCUCGGCUUGUGCAGCCUACGCCUUAGCACAGGCUCUGUUUGUGUCCUUCCUCUCCUCCACCAACUGACACCUGAGAUCCUCCUUCUCGGCCUCUGCAGCCACCAACCUCUCCGUCAGCCUGCGGCUCUUGUUUUCCGCAGCUAACUUGUCUUGAACAGUGUCCGUAUGCUACGCUUGGAGGCGCUCGAUCCUGCCCUCGAGUCGCUGCCUCUCGACAGCAAACUCCGAAGUCAGGGCGCCCGACGCAACAUGGUCGGCGAAGGCGGCCGCCUGCCAUGAAAAUCCAUCAGAUUCGCAACCACAUAAAAACAACGAACUAACAAAGUCCAAGACGACUUACAUGCUUCAGCUGCUGCGUUGCAUGUUUCAGCUGCUGGGACACAGAGCCCGCCACGUCUUCAGCGGCAGCGGCCGACGAAAUCUUGCCGCUGGCGCAAAAUCUGGACCACGGGUCCUGCGAAGUGCCCUUCGCCUCGAUCACUAACGCAACCGGCGUGGCCACCACCGGAGCCGGGACAACAGCCAGUUGCCCAGCAUCCGACCCUGCACCAUAACCUUGUUCAAGACCCACUCUCAAAAAAAACUCACCAACGAGUCCUUGGCCCGUGUGCGCAUCAAACAUCAUGACACCACCUACGCGGUAAUCAUCCACGCAGAUGUCCAUGUCAAGGUCGGCACCACCUACCGCCUCGUCGGCGCGCACCGGAGACGGUGGCCUUCAAUCCUUCGCGGGCUCGGCCGAGGGCAGUUUGCCCGACCCGGAUGCGACAGCCCUCGCACCCGACGAAGACUUGCUAGGCCCAGGGACGGCUGGCUUCGCAGCCGGUGGUGGUUUGCUGCUGCCGGGGGCGGUGGACUUCGCGCCUCCUCGCGCCCUCUUAACCUCGCGACUAGGGUCCCCGACCCUAGUGAACGCUCGAUGCUUCCGCGUCGUAUCUUGGCGAUCCUUGUCCAUCACUGCCGAUACAACAGCAGCAAUAUACCGUCCAUAAGGAAAAAUCUUCAUCUCACGGGCCAAAUGAGACAUAAAUAUGUCCUCACCGGCCACCCGGGGGAUCGGAACGUUCCUUGGCCAUUGACCCCCGGUAACCUCCAGCAUUCGCGCCGAAGACUCCCGGAGCUCGGGCGAAGACAUCCUUCCCCCGACAGCCGCACAUGUCCCCAUUAACUCCAUAGCAAAACGAUCGAAGACCCCCAACCCCUCAGCCGCAGUACCUAGUUUCCUCUUCUUAAUGGUCGGCGCAGCCUCCCGUGAAGGGCCUUCCUCAGCCACAGCUGCUGGCUUUUUUCCACAUCGAUCGACAGCCGCAGCAGCGUCGUCUCCAGGGUAGCCGCCAUAUGGCAAACAGUUUAACUCGAAGACACGAUUCAAGCGAACGUUGGAUCCUCGAAUAUCCCAACUCCGCAGAGCCUCCGUCCUCGGCGCAUACCGCCCCACAAUCCUCACAACCCCAUCCUCCACUUCACGCACGAACGCGGCCGGGUCUCGGCCACGCAGAUCCAAGGCGAAGGUCGGACUUCGCACCAACUGCUUGCCCAAGGUAGGAAUCUGGCGAGGGCAUACUUCGCCAAGCACCCAGCCAUGCGCCAAGGGCCACACUCCAUAACCGAUGAAUUCCUCAACUAAAUCGUGCCCGCUACUCAUGCAGGCAGCGCACCGGAGGGCCCCUUCGUCCUCAUCGUCCUCCGCCAGCUCAAACGGUUGGAAUGCCACAUAAUAGUGGGAGCACAUUACGGCCGCGGGGUGCCCUAGGAGGUCUUCGACUUCGCCUCCCGAAACAUAAAACAAAAAAUCCCACCAGUUGCCCCACUUGUUGCGAGCGCAGGGAACUAGUUCCAUGACUUCCGCCGAAGUCUUCCCGGUCCUCGGCGUGAAGGUGCACGAUCCAAACUGCACAAUCUUACUUCCAAUUUUUCUCUUCUGCCAGUGCAGACAAUAAUUCUUGGCGAAGACCUCUACGGAUGGCUGACCGCCGUACGAAGUCACCGCCCAGACAUACUUCGCUAGGGCCACCAUGGUGUUAGGUGUCAAUUGGUGGACCUGGACGUCAAACCUCUGCAAAACCUCCGCCACAAAAUGAUGCGCAGGUAGGCAAAGGCCGGCGAUGAAGAACGCCUCAAACACGACUAACUCGCCCUCAGGCUCGGGAAUCUCUUCCGCCCCCGGGAUGCACCCAACACCGUUCCCAAAGUACCCCAACUGCUGCAUAUCCUACACACGAACCGAGGAAAUCCUCGAAAUGCCGAACUCCACCGUGUGGCCCGGUUGUAACUCCAUCACCGCCAAAUCGCUCAAGGUAUCUUCGAACGACGAAUCGGCCGACAACGCAUUCGCAGCAGAUGAGGAAGAAGACGACAUUGCUACGUACCAUCGGCGGCGGCGUGCGGUUUGCUUGACGCGGGCCAGAUCUCCGAUGCAGAGGAACAAGGAGGGCAGGCGAGCAGGCGAGCGGUUUCAAAAGUUUAGGGUUUUCCGGCGCACGCAAAGGUAAGAGACAGCCCAAGCCGCGCUGCCCUUUUUAUACACACGACGCGGCGCUUCGGGAAACCCGCAGUCCAACAGCGCCACGUCCAUCAAAGGUCACCUCAAAAACCCCCGCGGGACCACUUCGAGCGAGGGCAGCGUCUCCACCAUCUAGUGCGACGUCUUCAGCACUAGAUGACUCAGUCGAAUUGGUCCCUCGGAGGGCAAAUGUUGGGGCGAAGGCGAAGACGCUACCCUUCGCUCGAUGCCUUCGUCGCCUGCGUCGCCUCGCUUCACCAACGACGCCAAGGACGCCGAUCCGAUGAGGACUUCGUGACUGGACUUCGCAGGCACCCUUCGCCCUUCUCCAUUGCGAGACGAAGGCAAGACUCCGACGAUGUCUGCUAGCCUCACGUCCUCAUCGGGUCCGGAAGCCCAAGGGGGAUUCGGCCCAUUGUAACGGGCCCCGCAGGGAUAAGCAUGUUACGGGCCUCAUCUGUAAUAGCCUUUUCUGUAAUGACGGUCUGUAACCUCCCCUGGGGGAAUAUUUUGAUGAUACUCUGGGUUCCCGAGGGCAUAAACGUCCUUGUUUGAGGGCGGUAGGCACUCGGACACCUAUAAAUACCCCCGUACAGUACCCUUGACGGGGCAGAUUAACAGAGCUAUUGUCGUUCCCCGUUGAACCUUGCGAACUAUUUCUCCACUCUCCCGUUGGAUCCACUUGUUCACCUGAACGAGUACCAACAUUUGGCGUCCACCGUUCGUACUACGAACAAACCACCCGCGAUGGCACCCAAGAGAGCUAGUUCGAAGGAAGCCCCACCCGCGAUGUUCACCUGAAGGACUUCAAGUUUUUUUCUAGCUCUGCCUUCUUCUUGAAGGACUUUGAAGUCUUUUUACCUUCUCACUUCUAUUUAUUGUCGAAGGGUAAUUCUUAAUCCUAUCUUCCAUCUAAAGGACUUCAAGAUCUUUUCUUGACUCUUUCUUCCAUCUAAAAGACUUUGGAGUCUUUUCUUGACUGUACCUGCCGUGUGAAGGAGUCUUUGCACCUUCUUACUUUUACUUGGUGAUGAAGGGUAUCCUUUGAUCCUGCCUUCCAUAUGAAGGACUUUAGGAUCUUUUUUAUGACUUUGUCUUCUAUUUAAAGAACUUCAAAGUCUUUUACACUCGAAGGCGCAACAACAAAAGAAGAUUGUUCGUUCUUUUGGGGAUGGUUGCCCUUAUAUUUACUGGGCGAUUACAAUUUUUACAAAGACGGUACCAUUAAAAAUCCCUACUCUCUGUCUUUUUUACGAAGAACCCCGUAAGGAAAAAUGGUGUUAUCUUGAAACAAAAAUUAAAAAAAGAAAAGAAAAAGAAACAUCGCUACGUAUCUACACAAAAUAACCUUGGAGACCGUGUAUUCCACAACCUCGGGACUUUAUUUGUCUCCAUAUACUUUAGUCUAUAUGAUCGGAUCAAAGCCGUUACGAGGAAGGGCUCUUCCCACUUGAAUUGUAGUUUGCCUGUGUUGUCUAGAUUUGCUAUCUUUCAAAGGACAAGAUUUUCUGUAGCUAUAUGUUUACGUUUUACUUUUUCGUCCCUCCAUUUCCUUAUUUUUAUGUGCCUAGAUUUAUGAUUCGUGUUCAUACGAGCUAGAAUAAUUCAUAUCCAAUAAUAAUAAGUCAGAUUUCAACAUAUAUUGCAUGCAAUGUAUGGACAUGUUGGCUAGUAAAAAGAAAAAAAGAUAAAAACGUAGGGCCUAGUGAUCAGCACAGGGCCACAGGCAUGCAGAUGCAGCGCACAUGCGAACGUAACAAACACAGCAACGCGCCCACGCUAGCGGUUUCCAUUUCCGGCCCUGCAAUCCUGCACCGGCGCGAAAGCCCCCUCACGGCCUCACCUCCACUCCGGUGAUGGCCGCAUCUCCUUUACUUCUCAGUGCUCACGCCGUCCACGGUCCACUAGUUGCAUCGGCUAGCUCCCGCAUAAAGAUCCACACCACUUGAGCAGCAGCUAGCUCAAGGGAAGGAGAAGGCUGGAAGUGGAAAGAAGUGGGUUCUUGCUUGAGCUGAGCUCUUGCUGCCCUUGGAUCUGUUUGGGAGUGGAGAACGCAGUAUGGGGCGCGGCAAGAUCAAGAUCAAGAGGAUCGAGAACUCUACCAACCGGCAGGUGACCUUCUCCAAGCGCCGGGCCGGACUGGUCAAGAAGGCACGGGAGAUCGGCGUGCUCUGCGACACCGAGGUCGGCGUCGUCAUCUUCUCCAGCGGCGGCAAGCUCUACGACUACUGCUCGCCCAGGACCUCGUCUGUCCAUUGCCCUCUCAUUCUUUUUAUUCUUUUGCUUGUUUAUUAUCGUCCUUCUUCUUUUCUUCUGUGUUGUGUGCAAGCAAAACUGAUCGAAAAGACCCAAAUUUGGUUUGUUGGCAGGCUGUCCAGGAUCUUGGAGAAGUACCAGACCAACUCCGGGAAGAUACUGUGGGGUGAGAAGCACAAGGUGCCCGCCCUUCAGAUUCCCCUUUCCUCGACAGUUUGUUACUUUGUUUCAGCGCCGCGAACAGAUUAACGGUUCAAAAUUUAACGGAUGAAAUGUUUCAGAACCUGAGUGCAGAGAUCGACAGAGUCAAGAAGGAGAACGACAACAUGCAGAUUCAGCUCAGGCCAGUGUUUCUGAUUCAGAUCUGCUCCGGAUCUCUAGCUGCGCGCGCACUUCACUAGCUCGCUGUUCGUGUGUGUUCUUGUUGUGAUUGUGCUAGCGUGUCCGUCACUUGUGAUGGUGCAGGCAUCUGAAAGGCGAGGACCUGAACUCCCUACAGCACAGGGAGCUGAUCGCUAUUGAAGAGGGCCUCCAGAAUGGGCAGACCAACAUGCGCGAGAAGCAGGCAGUAAUCCUUACUCUUCCAGUUGCUCCUGAGCUUAUUUAGUCGCUUGCAGCACACAAGCACGGCAUAGUUCAUUAGGGGAAGGGUUUUGUUUCUGAUGUUGCUUUAUUCCACUGUUGCUGUAGAUGGACUACUGGAGGAUGCACAAGACGAAUGUACGAUCUCUAAUCUUGGAUUCUAUUCUUUGUUCCUACUCUAUACAUCCUGGGAUACUUCCUUUUCUUUUUCUUUUGAAAGAAGUCGUUGAGUAAUUUUUUUUUUACAGAAAAGUUUUUGCAGCUUCGGGUCAUUAACAGUCAUUUGUGAUUGGUUACAGGGAAAGAUGCUGGAGGACGAACACAAGAUACUGACUUUUAGGAUGGUAAUUCUCCCCCAUCUGAAUAGCAGUUGAAACUUUGCUUGAUCAUCCUUCCUCCUUUCAACUCCUUAGCAUAACUUAUCAGUAUGCAAUAUUCUAAACAAACUCAAUGUUCCGAGUUAACCGAAGAAACUGCACACAACCACGCUGAGCAAAUUUCCAAGGACAUGAAAAUUCUUGUCUUGGGAUUUCUAGUUGGAACGCAAUUCUGCUCACUGAUUGGUAUUCAAGGUGAUUUGUCAGACUUAUUACCAACCCAAGACCAAACUAACCAAACAAAUCGAAGACGAAUUAGGACUUGUUCAUUUACACCAAUCCAACUUUAGAUUAGUAUGGAUUGGAAUUAAAUUCAUGUCAUAAUCCAUGUCCCAAAAUAAUUCAAGUCUACUCAAAAAAAUUAUUCGGUUAAAUCCAUCAUAUAUUAUAAACCAAGAGUUUAGAAAUUUUUAAACUAUGUAAGACAUGGAUUCUAUCCAUAGCUCAUUAGGUAUGAAACAAAUCCAUGAAAAUAUUACACACCAAGUUUAUAUUAGAAUAUAUGGAUCAAAAAAAUAACUAGCUUUGAAAUAUAGAUUGGUUAAAAUGUUAGAUUUAAUCCCACCAGGAGAUUAGGUGUGAGAUAUGGAUUCACUCAAUCCAGACCCUGAUUAAAUUUAUGGUGGGAUUUCAUUCCUUGUAACCGAAUAAGGCCGUGAUUUCGUAUACUAUUACCAACCCAAUACCUAGUGGCCUGCAUAUUAAUUACUGAACCGCCUAAACCCCCAUUAGAGCUUGUUGGGUUAGAAUUGGAUUAAAGGGGAUUGGACCCAUUAGAGCUUGUUCGGUUAGAAUUGGAUUAAAGGGGAUUGGAGAAGAUUAAAUCUCUUAUUAUUCAAAGUUGAAUAUAAAAUGAUUUGAAAGGAUUAAAUGGACGGAGGAUAUUAAAUCCCUUGCUAGUUAAAAUAAAAUAGAAAAUAGAUUUAAUCCUUUCAAUCCUAAUUUAACCGAAAAAGGUUCAAGGAAUUUCGGUUGUAUGUAUGGGUAUCGGAAGAGAUUGAGAAAUAUUUUAUCUAUUUCUAUCUCCUUCAAUCACUUCUAACUUUCUAACUGAACGAAGUUCGCACUUUAGUGAAGUUAACCUCAUUCUGCAAGUGCUGAAAUAAAUCUGAAAGCUGAUUGUUUGCUGAAUUUAUCCCUUCCUGUUCCCAGCACCAACAGGCUGUUGAUCUGAGCGGCCGCAUGAGGGAGCUGGAGAUCGGAUACCAUCAGGUCCAGCACGACAGGGAUUUCAUUUCCCAGAUGCCGUUCACCUUCCGGGUGCAGCCCAACCACCCCAACCUGCAGGAAGACGAGUAGCUACAGCCUGCUGGAUAGUGAUCUGCAUGCCGCUCUGAACUGAAGCUCCUCACCUGCAGCUUCUAUCUCGC